CCAAACUCUAGUCGGUGACGCAGGCGAUGUGAAUAUAACAGAAUAUAAUGGAAACGAAAAUUAUGAAGCUGUGUUGCGUUUAAAACUCGCUAACGAGGAAGAUAAGGACGUCAGUCGCCAUUGUACUGAAUGGAUGCAAAAAUUUUGUACUGCUACAAAAACUCAGUGGAUAGUAAGGAUAUCGUGGCCUAACUUGAAGAAGUUAAUUUACCGGAAGUUUUAUGUUUGCCACUAUAGUAAUUUCAAUAAGGCAUCAAAUGAAAAGAGAAGACGUAAGCUUUGCCGUCAGAAGGGAAAGGAUUGUAAAGCAUCAGUUGACAUAAAAAUUAAAAAGAUUAAUAAGGAUACUAAAAAAAGGCUUUUCAGCUCUUGUAUUUAUAUCUUUUAAACAUAAACAUCAUAUUCACGUCGCAGAAGCUUAUAGUUUUCUUAAGAUUUCCACAUAAACAAAAUCAAUGUUUUUUCAAUAUUUUGAUGAUGGGCUGGGUCCAACAGUGGUGAAGAAUAUGCAUGAAAUGAAGCUCCUAAGCAUUUACAGGAAUAAUUCGGAUGUAACAAGUCAGAAAACUGUUGAAAUAUUAGCCGAUUGUCAACAAAAUCCGAAAGACAAAGAAAUUAAUUAUUUGUAUGAUGUCUGGAGACGUAAACAUUUUGGUGAUAGAAAACUAGAAAACAUAGUUUCUAAAUUGGCGCAGAAACAAAAGAAAUAUGCCCAAAAUGGUUUCGAAGUGUAUAUUGAAGAAGAUCCCUUCGUGGUCUUGAUAAUAUCUCCUAUAAUGCAAAGAGCGGAUAGUCGACGAUUUGCGGGAGAGAUAUGUUUCAUUGAUUCCACUGGAUCAUGUGACCAGACAUCGACCGUUGUUGAUUUUAUUAUAGGUGGUAGUAAAGUUGGAGGCAUUCCAUUAGCAUGCUUAUUGCAUACUUCUCAAACAGAAUUGAAUUAUACAUCGUGUUUUUAGCUUCUGAAAAAAUUCACUCCAAAUGGUUUUGGUGGUAAUGGCUCGCUUAAUAUUAUUAUGACCGGUGAUUCACAUGCCGAGCGAAAUGCUUUAAAAUUGGUGUAUCCUCAUUCAAAAUUACUACUUUGUAGUUUUCAUAUUUGUCAGGCAGUCUGGCGAUGGCUAUGUGAUACAAAAAAUGGUAUUGACAAGAGUGAUAGAAAAAAACUAAUGAAUGAGUUUAGGUCCGUUUUGUAUGCUUCUUCUUCUGAAGAAUGUGUAGAGAUAUAUAAUGAACUGCAUAAUUCCUGCAGAUAUCAAAAUUUCUCCAAAUACUUGACAACAUUAUGGAAACGCAAGGAUGAAUGUUGUUCACAUUAUAGAAAAGCUUUAAUUACCAGAGGACAUAAUACAAAUAAUUUAGUUGAAUCUUCCAUAAGAGUUCUAAAAGAUAUAGUUUUGGAGCGGUGCAAGACAUUCAAUGCCGUAGCUUUGUUAGAAAUUAUUAUUAACGUUCUUGAAAAGUACCAUUUCAGGCGACUAAUUGCUUAUGCCAAUUACCGGCAUAAUACAAAUGAAAUAUUGUUCAGUAAAUUAUUGGGAAGAGCCGAAAAUUUACUGGUGCAAAAAAAAAGACAAUCAAACAUACUUAGUUGCUUCAUCAGAUCCGAAAAUGUUCUAUACAGUACAUCUGGAUUAGUUUCCUUGUGAGCAGUUACAAAGGACAUGGACGAAAAAUAAAAGUUCAACCGAGCGCUUUAAGUCGAAGGAGUCAAGGGGUAAAACGAGGUUCGCAAAGGAUGCAAAGUGGGCGUCCUGCAAAGAAAAGGUCACAUUCCCUAGCAAGUAAUAUUAAUGAAGAUAAGCUAAGUGCAAAAAUUCACUAGCAAACAAUAUAUUUCGUUUAUAAUUUGGAAAUGCGAUAUUUAAAAUUUAGAGUUAAUAUUAAUAAUGUGCGCAUUCCAAAUCACUAAUUA